GAGCCUCUUGUGCUUACCACAGGAUGUGUUCUUACACUGACUAUAUAGAAAUAAACCUACCCCAUGCACACCUCAGCCCAGACCCAGUUCCUUGUCUAUAUUGAGAAUGGGAAGACAUGG
rfam:Dipodomys ordii contig_44265, whole genome shotgun sequence.